rnacentral:rRNA from 1 species
GACAUAGGGGGCAAGCGUUGUUCGGAAUUACUGGGCGUAAAGGGAGCGUAGACGGUAAUGCAAGUCUGGAGUGAAAUCCCAUGGCUUAACCAUGGAACUGCUUUGGAAACUGUGCAGCUGGAGUGCAGGAGAGGUAAGCGGAAUUCCUAGUGUAGCGGUGAAAUGCGUAGAUAUUAGGAGGAACACCAGUGGCGAAGGCGGCCUGCUGGGCUUUUACUGACGCUGAGGCUCGAAAGUGUGGGGAGCAAACAGG